CAACAAAAAUAACCAAACAAAAUUAUGUAGUAAGAUAGAAGAUAAAUUUGUAAAUUAUAUAGUAAUUUAUAUUGAAAAGGAAAUAACUAAAAAUUUUAUCUUAUAUGAUCCUUCAUAUUCAUCGUUACUCAAUUAAUUUUAGUAAUAAAAUUGUAGUUAAAUAUUGUUGUCCCCUCUAAAAUUUAGAUGAAGAUCCGCCACUGCCCACAGGUAUUCUCGCACUGGAGGCAAUCCUGUCCGAGCCGGGCACAUCCACAGGUAAGUGGGGCUAACUCUCCCAACGGGCAUUUUUUCCAUCCACAAGACUCGAACCCAGGUUCUUGCUUAAGGGGAAUCAAGCAUGUACCACUUGAACCAACGCCAGUUGGUAACCAUAAACUAUUUAUUCACACUCAAAAUGUUUCAGAAGUGGUACAUGUAUUAAAAUGUUAGAGUAUAACAUUUUCUAACAUACAUUAUAUGUAUUAAAAUGUUGUUAUGAGUGUAAUUGUGUUGCACUCAUAAAAGUUGUGAAUAAAUGUGGCAACAAUUACAAUUUCAUUAUGAUGGAAAAUAGCAAUACUUAUUGCAAUUUUCAUGGGGAGCAUAAAUAGAAAAUGAGAUAAUAGGAACUACCAAAAAAAUUACCGUCACAGUUAAGGUAAUGGUGAUUACUAUUAUUGCAGCCACAGCGAUGCAAAUUGCAAUCAUUAAGGUGUGAAUUAUGCCCAUUAAAUUUGGUGUUGUCUGUUGUAGCUUGAUGCAACUCAAAUUCGGCUCGAUACGAUUGCGUUGGAGCUCGAUACAAAUACAUCAUUAUGAUUCGAUGUUACACCACAAUUGUUCUGUGAUGUGAUUAUAACAAUAACAUAAUCAUAAUACUUAGUCACAUCAUAUGAUGUGUUCGGCAAUUUUAAUCAAGCAUGCAUCCAAGACCAAAAGACAACACAUAUCACACUGGCAUAGAAGUAGUCCCCAUAUCAUUAUCCUUCCGUACAACUACUUAAAGCAUCACUCCUUAAUUAACCAAAC
rnacentral:lncRNA from 1 species